rnacentral:rRNA from 1 species
UACGGAGGGUCCAAGCGUUAUCCGGAUUCACUGGGUUUAAAGGGUGUGUAGGCGGGCAGUUAAGUCAGUGGUGAAAUCUCCGGGCUCAACCCGGAAACUGCCAUUGAUACUAUCUGUCUUGAAUUUUGUUGAGGUAGGCGGAAUAUGUCAUGUAGCGGUGAAAUGCAUAGAUAUGACAUAGAACACCAAUUGCGAAGGCAGCUUACUAAGCAAAUAUUGACGCUGAGGCACGAAAGCGUGGGGAUCAAACAGG